rnacentral:rRNA from 1 species
CUUGACCUCGGAUCAGGUAGGGAUACCCGCUGAACUUAAGCAUAUCAAUAAGCGGAGGAAAAGAAACCAACAGGGAUUGCCCUAGUAACGGCGAGUGAAGCGGCAACAGCUCAAAUUUGAAAUCUGGCGUCUUUGGCGUCCGAGUUGUAAUUUGCAGAGGGCGCUUUGGCAUUGGCAGCGGUCCAAGUUCCUUGGAACAGGACGUCACAGAGGGUGAGAAUCCCGUACGUGGUCGCUAGCCUUUACCGUGUAAAGCCCCUUCGACGAGUCGAGUUGUUUGGGAAUGCAGCUCUAAAUGGGAGGUAAAUUUCUUCUAAAGCUAAAUACUGGCCAGAGACCGAUAGCGCACAAGUAGAGUGAUCGAAAGAUGAAAAGCACUUUGGAAAGAGAGUUAAAAAGCACGUGAAAUUGUUGAAAGGGAAGCGCUUGCAGCCAGACUUGCCUGUAGUUGCUCAUCCGGGUUUUUACCCGGUGCACUCUUCUACGGGCAGGCCAGCAUCAGUUUGGGCGGUUGGAUAAAGGUCUCUGUCAUGUACCUCCUCUCGGGGAGAUCUUAUAGGGGAGACGACAUGCAACCAGCCUGGACUGAGGUCCGCGCAUCUGCUAGGAUGCUGGCGUAAUGGCUGUAAGCGGCCCGUCUUGAAACACGGACCAAGGAGUCUAACAUCUAUGCGAGUGUUUGGGUGUCAAGCCCGAACGCGUAAUGAAAGUGAACGGAGGUGGGAACCUUUCGGGGUGCACCAUCGCCCGAUCCUAAUGUCUUCGGAUGGAUUUGAGUAAGAGCAUAGCUGUUGGGACCCGAAAGAUGGUGAACUAUGCUUGAAUAGGGUGAAGCCAGAGGAAACUCUGGUGGAGGCUCGCAGCGGUUCUGACGUGCAAAUCGAUCGUCAAAUUUGGGCAUAGGGGCGAAAGACUAA